rnacentral:lncRNA from 1 species
AAAUUCAUUAGAAAAGUCGACGAUUUAAACUAAAAUUUGAGGAAAAUGACCAACUUAAAACUUUUAAAAAAUAAGGGACCAAAUUGAAACCUAAAAUAAACAUAACAUAUCAAAUAUGCAAUUAAUUCUAAUUUUUAACAACCUAAAACCUUCUCAAUCUAUAAUCUUUGUUUGAUGACUUGAUGGUGUUUUGAAUUUUAAAAUUUGUUAAGUUGUUUUGAUUGUAUAAAUAAGUAGUUUAAUAUAAUUAUAUACGUCGAUAUGGAUUCAGUUUUCAUUGUAGUCUCUUAUUUAGUUGAGCCUUAAUUAUAUUGGAAACAUGACUAUACUCUUGCAUGUUAUUUCUUGUUUAAAAAUUUCUUCCAAAAUUAAAUAUUGAAAAACAGAGUUUAAAUAUUUCUAUAUUCGAAAUUUAGGUUGAUAAAAUUCCCUCCAAAAAUUUGCCCAGGCUCCC